GGCCUCGUAGCUCAGCUGGUAGAGCAUGCGCGUACAAAGCGUAGGCGGUGUCCAUGCGUGGGUUCGAAUCCCACCGAGGUGA
rnacentral:tRNA from 1 species